GACGUAGGUGGCAAGCGUUAUCCGGAAUUAUUGGGCGUAAAGCGCGCGCAGGCGGUUUCUUAAGUCUGAUGUGAAAGCCCACGGCUCAACCGUGGAGGGUCAUUGGAAACUGGGAAACUUGAGUGCAGAAGAGAAGAGUGGAAUUCCACGUGUAGCGGUGAAAUGCGUAGAGAUGUGGAGGAACACCAGUGGCGAAGGCGACUCUUUGGUCUGUAACUGACGCUGAGGCGCGAAAGCGUGGGGAGCAAACAGG
rnacentral:rRNA from 1 species